ACCACUGACCAAAUUCCAGUCCAGGCAGCCAGCAGGCCCGGGGCUGCUGCCUUUGGCUGCUCCCACGGGCUGCGGCGAAGAGGGCCCGGCCCGGUGGGCCCCUUGGGCCGUUCCCGCAGCCCCAUCCUGCCCCACAGGACUCCGGCCCCCCACCUGAGAGGACAGCCCUCCUUCUGGAGCUGGGAUCUGACUCUCGCAGGUGCUGACGGCAGACACCAGGGGCUGGACUGUCCCGUGCACUCCAGGACACUCGGCAGGACCUCUGGCCUCCACCAGCUGCAUUCCACUGGCACUCGCCCCUCAAGGCGUGACAACCAAAGUCAUCUCCGGACAUCGCCAUAUGUUUACCCCUGGUUGAGAACACCUGUGUUAAACCUCUGGAUUUAGAGGAAAUUUUCUCCCCCAAAUUCAGUCUGUCUCACUUUUCAGCGUCCAUAGGAAUCAUUCGAGGCCAUUGUUAAAAACCCAAAUCCCUCAGGUCGCACCUCAAGUCUCCAGGGUCAAGAGCGGGCCCAGCUGUCACAUGUUUAAUGAGCUUCCGCCUGCUUCUGGUGCACGGAGCCCUCAGAACCCACUUCGGAAACUCCUCCAGGAAGCCUCCCUGAUAACCAGUAGGGACAGAACCAAAUCCUAGCGCAGCCGAAGUCCCAGCUGCCUCAUCUACCUUCCGGGAAGAAACAAAAGCUGACCACGAAGUUCAGCUAAACCUGCUGAUAAAAUAGCAGCAUCCCGAUCAAAAUGAAUCCUGAGGUGCUGCUUAACAGAAUGGGGGUGUCGGACUGUCUUUGCCUGUUGGACCAGAGUCCCUUCCCUGAGAACAGGUGCUGAGACGGAGCAGCCCAACGAGUCAUGACUUGGUCUACCUUUCUAGACCCAUCUCUCAGGCCCUCCUACUCAUGGUCUGUCUGUGAGCUGUUCUCAACAAUUCCACUUCUCCCCUCUCGGGCACAUGGCAGAUUGGCACUCUCUUGCCUCCUUUGAAGUUGAGUGUGACCAUGUGACUUGUCUUGGCCAAUGACAUGUGAACAGAAACCAUCUGUGUCACACCUGGGCGGAGGUUUAAGAGCCAGUGCUGAGGUUGCCGUAGAGCCGAGGAUAGAAAUGGAGUCCCCGGGAUGAGGAGAGCCCCUGCUGACCGUGCCGCGCAGGUACGGUAGGUGAGCGGCAGCUCUACCCUGUGUCGGCCCCUGAGACUGAUGCCAUUGCUGUUUCCUGCGGCACAGCCUCGCCUGUGCAGACUGAACACAGUCUUUCCAAAGCUUCCCUGACGUUCCUAUGACCAUCAUGAUUUGUCAUAUGUAAAAACCACUUAGGCUAAUUAACAUUUUUCUUAACAUCAACUCACUUAUUUUAACUUAGGUUUAUUUUAGAAGGAUGUGUUAUUACUACCAAAUGAAACACCAGUAUCAUAAGUAGAAAGCAAUGGGAAAAUAAACAGAAUGAAAUAAACUUAUGUUUUCUCUUGA